CCUUACUAGGGUAGUCUUCCAACUACUCUCGGGAAAGUAAUACAGUGCCUCCUAGUGGUCAGAAUACACUCAACCUGUAACAUCUAUUAUUGAACACAAAAAUUGCAUGGUAUGAAACGGGAAUGAACUAUUUUUUCUUGAUAAAAUCAUUGUUUUCAUAGAACUUACGACCAGUGAUGUUUGCUUAACAAUGGUGCGACUAGAACUACAAACCAGAGUGUCUGCAUAAGGACGGUCCAAUUAGAACUACGAAGCAGAGUUUUGCUUGACAACGGCAACCCUGUACUUUGAGUAUUUUUUGUUGCAGCUGGCUAGAGUGUCGCCGGAUUGUGCAGUACACAAGUCUUGUACAGUAUCCAGUCUUCUGGGCCAUGUAACAGUAGGAACAGAGACGAGACUAACGGCAACCAAUGAAA